rnacentral:rRNA from 1 species
GACGAACGCUGGCGGCAUGCCUAACACAUGCAAGUCGAACGAGACCUUCGGGUCUAGUGGCGCACGGGUGCGUAACGCGUGGGAACCUGCCCUUAGGUUCGGAAUAACUCCCCGAAAGGGAUGCUAAUACCGGAUAAUGUCUUCGGACCAAAGAUUUAUCGCCUUUGGAUGGGCCCGCGUUGGAUUAGCUAGUUGGUAGGGUAAAAGCCUACCAAGGCGACGAUCCAUAGCUGGGCUGAGAGGCUGAUCAGCCACACUGGGACUGAGACACGGCCCAGACUCCUACGGGAGGCAGCAGUGGGGAAUAUUGGACAAUGGGCGAAAGCCUGAUCCAGCAAUGCCGCGUGAGUGAUGAAGGCCUUAGGGUUGUAAAGCUCUUUUACCCGGGAUGAUAAUGACAGUACCGGGAGAAUAAGCUGCGGCUAACUCCGUG